CGACAAUUCUCGACUGAUUAGCAGAUCUUUGCAUCUAAAAGCUCUGGUGUUUUCAAAUACAAAGACUUGAAUACAGUGAACAGAUUAUUCUAGGAAAGUUAAUACAAGGCUCCAAGACAUUGAUCAAAAUUCAAUGUACUACAUAUGUGAAGAUCUAUGGUAAGGAAAUAAUUCUUUCAAACCAAGAAAAACUUCAUCCAUCACUUUCUUUCUUUCUUUCUUUUUUUGAGCUGGGGAUUAGGGGAGUGGGUUUGCCAGGUGAGAUAUAUGCCUUCGGCCACUUAAUCAAACCAGACUAGACAAUGCCCUUUUCUAUCUUAUUACAUCCCAUUAUGCUUUUUAUAGCACUGAUACAUUAAUGAAAUCCUAAUCAAGGAUUGAUUCUCUCUUAUAGCACCAGUGCAAUGUCCAGGGAUGCAUCAUCCAGGUGAUCAUGCGAUUACUCUCCCUUCUUCAAGGACCUCGUAACUGCAACAGCAACGUGAACAUCAUCUUUUGGAAGGUUUUAUGGAACCAUUCUUUUCAGUUAAGCAGGAUAACAGAUGGGUUGGUGAAUACAGUUUUGGCUCCACUGUCUCAGUUCAUGCUGGGGAUUAAACACAUCUGAUAUUCUCAUGCUCUUCAGGUUCAUUCGUCGCACCUCCAAAUUCUCUCCCCACAUCAGCACAUUCAGAUCUUCUUUCCUCAGCACUGUUAUGAACAAUCCUGGAGUCUUCAUUCCCUGGCUCAGAAUGUCGUGCAGAUUGUGAUUCACCAAAAGACUCUGUUGGCCCUGAUUGAACAGAUAUUUCAUCACUAUUCCCUGCCACAGAAGAAUCCUGACGAGUUUCUGCUUCAUUAUUAGGUAAUUCACUUGGAACUUUAGCAGAUGCAAUGAGGGAAAGGCGGCAGAGAGGGCAAGUAGUGUGAUUGGCAAGCCACUGGUCAAUGCACUCCAUGUGAAAUGUGUGGCCACAUGCAGGUAUCUGUUGAAGCCUAUCCUCUGCUUGGUAGUCCCCUAAGCAUACGGGGCAUUGUGUGUCUUUGACAGAGAAGCUCUCCUUAUACACAAUAAUGGGUAACAUCUCUCUCAUCUCUUUCUUCAAGCCCAAUUCAGCUCUAAAGAUAUCAUUGCUGUCUUGUAAAUUAGCUCGCAUUCGAAGAGAGGCCCAAUCAACACUUCUAUGGCGAAGAUAGAACAAGUAGAACAAGAAGAGGAGAAUCAAGGUGAAGAAAAUAGGCACGAAGAAGAUGAAAGCUUGAUAUAGCUUCAGUUCAGUUGAAGCUGCAGAAGAAGAAGGAGGAGGAGGAGGCGACGACGACGACGCAUCGCAUCGGCGCAGGUGGCUGGAUCACCGGUUCGGUAAGUAUGUCAUCUCACGUAUACAGAAGUCCCCACCGGGGAGGUUUUAC
rnacentral:misc_RNA from 1 species